rnacentral:rRNA from 1 species
UGCAAGUCGAACGGUAGAGGGGGCAACCCCUUGAGAGUGGCGAACGGGUGAGUAAUAUAUCGGAACGUGCCCAGUCGUGGGGGAUAACGUAGCGAAAGUUACGCUAAUACCGCAUACGAUCUAAGGAUGAAAGCGGGGGAUCGCAAGACCUCGCGCGAUUGGAGCGGCCGAUAUCAGAUUAGGUAGUUGGUGGGGUAAAGGCUCACCAAGCCAACGAUCUGUAGCUGGUCUGAGAGGACGACCAGCCACACUGGAACUGAGACACGGUCCAGA